rnacentral:misc_RNA from 1 species
GAUGAAGAACGCAGCAAAAUGCGAUAAGUAAUGUGAAUUGCAGAAUUCAGUGAAUCAUCGAAUCUUUGAACGCACAUUGCGCCCGCCAGUAUUCUGGCGGGCAUGCCUGUUCGAGCGUCAUUUCAACCCUCAAGCACAGCUUGGUGUUGGGACUCGCGUUAAUUCGCGUUCCUCAAAUUGAUAGGCGGUCACGUCGAGCUUCCAUAGCGUAGUAGUAAAACCCUCGUUACUGGUAAUCGUCGCGGCCACGCCGUUAAACCCCAACUUCUGAAUGUUGACCUCGGAUCAGGUAGGAAUACCCGCUGAACUUAAGCAUAUCAAUAAGCGGAGGA